rnacentral:lncRNA from 1 species
AUUGCGCCACUGCACUCCAGGCUGUGCUACAGAUACUCUGUCUCAAAAAACAAAAAACAAAAAAAAAUAAAUUUCAUGCUAUCCCAAAGACUAACAAUGGCCAAGUAGGCUCUUAAGACAAAGGAAUGUUAUUAUAUAUAAUGAAUAAUUCUUCAUGUACAAAUUCAGUAUUACAGAAUACCUCCACAUAGCUAGUUCCCUAAAAUCAUACCUAAAAUAUUACUAAAUGUUCAGAAAGUUUAAGGCAUCCUGUUUUUGUAUUACUUAAAUUCAAAGCUGUUAUUAACAAUUAAAUUUUAUUCUACAAAUUUAUUGUGAUCAGAGGUUACAUCAGUAUCCAAACAAUAUCCAUUUUUUGUUUUUAAGGUUAAGUCAUAAAAGAAAUCUAAGGACCUACACAAAGUGACUUAUGGAAGAAGACAACGUAUUGUCUUAAUGCUGAAGAGUGGUCAUACCUUGAAAUGCUUAGUUUUUGGAGAUCUCUGCUCUUCAGAUUGUCUUCCUGAUAUGGAUCCUGUCAUUUGUUUAAAAAAAAGAAGUUUAAAAGUUGUAAUUUUUACAAUUUAUUUAGUCUCAGCUCUUUCUUACCAGAGACAUGUUCAGGUUUUACAGAAUAUAUCUGUAAGUGCAAAGAAUACAAUUAGAUUUUAUACUCAAUUUUAAUGAAAUACCUCCAAUCUAUAACAAAUAUCUCUAAAUCACGUCCAAUGGUUUAAAGUAUUAAUGCUUUAAUUUUCUUUAAAAGAAUAAAAUUGCUCUCAUUCUGUAAAAGACCUUGUAAUCUUACAAAAUAUAUUUCUAAAGACACCAAUCUGAAGUGUAUAUUCAAAAAAGUGUUACACAUUUGUCACAUUUCUGUUUACUUAUGGUAUGGGUGAAUGAAUUCUAUGGGAAAAUGGAAGUUUUUUUGGUAUUUCACUUUUUCGUAGUAUUACCAAAAACACACCAGAAUUUUAACAGGUUACUGUUGUAAAACAUCAGCAUACAUUUCCUCCUUCCACAUGGAUUAAAAAUGACCUGGCAAGGACAUCAUAAAGUCCUUAUAUGCUUUUAAAUUCAGUUGAUUUAGGUUGCAGAUAUGACAGAACCUUCAGAAGAUAUUUUUAAAUGACUUAGUAUGUUUGAGACAACUCUAACACACUUGUUUGCAAUGCAUUCUCAUUUAAGGAUCUGUAACAAAUGAAAAUGAUUAUCACAGGUACUAAUUCUCCUGGCAGAUGUGGCCAGUAUAAGCUCAGAAUACAAAUUUUAAUUUUAUUAUUUCUUACUAAUACAAUCUAAAUUAUAUAAUUUGCAGUGAAACAUUAAAAAGCAACACAAGGACUUCAUGAGUACUCUCAACUUGAGAGUAAAAUGUGAAAAAUACCUAAUCUUAUAGGAGUUAAAACAUUUCUGGAUCUCUGAUUUUAAUACUCUAACAGUUAAGUUAAAUCUUAGGGAGCCCUAAGGAGAGGGGAAACAGAACUGGCCCACAGGUCCAGGAGGUUUGACCACUAACGAGACACAUGUCCUUGGACCUUGUUUUUUCCUGUGCCUUACAGGAAAUAAUGGAAUCUGAUCAGAUCACUUUUAGUAUCCUUGUAUCAUGAAUUAAAAUUUUUUUUUUAAAAAUUAGUAUAUACUUAUGCAUAUGUUCAUUGAAAACCUUCCUCAUUUUUAAAGCCAACAAUAUAAAAAAAUUUGACAGUUUGAGUGGGAAAAUGUUUUUCCAACUACUAUCUAACAAUUCAGAGACUCUAAUGUACAUCAGCAGUAAGCUCAUAGAGACUGUAUCUAGUAUUCAAAGACCCUUUUGUUGGCUAGUAAUAGAUCACCUAUGUCCUAAAGGUGGUAAUGGAUCUGUUCCCUAACUAGUGCCACAUGAUGUGGGAGUUUCAUAUAAGGUGAGGCCCAUGGCUACAAAAUCUUGGGAAAUAAUGUUCAAGUUAUAUAGGUUUCUAUACUAUAGCAGAACCUUUAAUAUACUACAGUACACUGUGAAUCUCUAACUGGGCUACCGUUAUUAGGGACUUUAGACGUCUUCUAAACCAACUUAAUUUUACUGAUCUAGUAUCUCUUUUACUUCUUUGGCCCUAGAGUCUGUAUUUCUCACAGGAUCAAUGGUUCUGAAUAUAAAUGGCUGGAAUAUUAGGGGACACAGAAAGUCUAAAAGGCCCAUAGUGGAACUGCCCCUGAAACCUCACUAACAUGAAAUAUUAAUGAACUGAGUUCCCUCACUAAAUAUUUAAAAAACAAACAAACAAACUAAAACAACACUAUUAUAUCCAUGUAGGAUGCUAUUACAUACUUCAGAAGGUUUUAUAAAAUGCUUCACUGAAAGCAUCAUCUUAAAAAUUUUUUUUAAAAUGGCUAGACUAAUGUGAGCUAGAGUAAUAUGGCUAGAGUAUUGUGAACAUAAAUUUCUCUCCUUGGCUUCCUCUCAGAUUCCUGUCUCCAAGAGGAUUCUGAUCAGCAACAUCACUGAAACAAGAUUUGAAAGUAUGCAUCAAGAUUUCAACUUGGAAUCCUUGAUAAACUUUUAUUUCCACUCUUCCUUUUCUUUGUUCAUUUCUUUUAGUUGUGAGUGAGCCCUUUUUAACUUCACAGCCUCACCCUACCCCUAAUAAAUGCCUGUGAAGGUGGGGGCCAUGUUAUAAAUAUUUCUUUUUCAAUAUUCCUCUCUUAGCUCAUCUUCAACUGUUUAAAGUUUCCUGUCUCUCAGAUUUAACUUAGUCAUCAGUUAAAGAAAGUGAUUUCUUCUACCUCUAAAAGUCUGUUUCUGUGAUUUGGUUACUUAUGACAGAUGAAUUUAAACUAAAAGCAAAUUUAUUCCCUAGCACCAUCUAGUGGAAAAGAAUAACUAAAAUGCUAAGAAUAGAAAUUUCAAUACACAUAAAUACCUAAAAGUACUGCCCUUCUGGAUUACUCUAAUCAAAUUUUUUAAAAAAGCAUUUACCUACUGAACAUACUAUAUAAUGGCCACUAUGAUAACUGGCUGUGAUUAAUAUAUUAAGUCCUGUAAGCAUGAUAGUAAUGUUUGAUCAGGAGCAUAAAACUGUGUCCCCUAAUAUUCCAGCCAUUUAUAUUCAGAACAGUUGAUCCUGUGAGAAAUACAGACUCUUGGGCCAAAGAAGUAAAAGAGAUACUGGAUCAGUAAAUGAAGUUGGUUUAGAAGACGUCUAAAGUCCCUAAUAACUGCUUUAUAUACACUAAUUUAACCUUCAUGAAAAAAGGUAUUUAAUGUCUACUUUACAGAAAACAACUUCCCAAAAGUAAAAUGGUGUUCCUAAUGUUAACAGUUAAUAAGCAACACCAAAAUUAUGAGCUAAGUUUCCGAUUCCAUGGUACUGCUUGCUACACUACAACAAAAUAUCUAUCACGUAUAAAGGCUAUCAAAUUUCCUUUCAAACAGAAUAUAAAUAAUGACAAUUAUAAUUCAGAAUUUCAAGGUCCAUAUCUUUUCCUGUAAACCCAUCUUUUGAAAAGAGGCUUCUCAGUGGUGAUGGUAACUGAGCUGUAGAACAGGAUGCUGAGUCUUUGAAGGAAUUGUGGUGUGUGGCCACAAGCUCAAAGCUGGGGGAAUCAACUUUGUAAGUAGGAAAAAAACCACUUUGACUCUAACGGGAGUUGACAGUAAUUUUUGUAGUGUUUCCUUUUAUCAGGGAUGGGGGUGCCAAAGGGAGUUCUCAUUGCCCAGUUCAGAGGAAUUCAUUUGGCCAAGGACUAGGCAGACUGCUAUAUUAUUCUUAAUGUCUGGCUCAUUCUUAUCGAGUGGUCACCUCUCAUAAAAACUACAUUAGAGAAGAAAGAAGUAUCAGCUCCAUCUAAGAACACUUGAGAUUCAGGGCAGAAUCUGGAAAGCAGUCAGGAAGUAUGGGAUGGAGUUCCCCUUUCAGAUGGUGGCAUCCCAGAGGAACAAGAAGAAACACAAUUCCUCAAUAGUGUUAGAAUGCUUUGGUAGGCAAAAUGGUUGAGUGGAGAAACAUUAUAUAACUGGUUAUACCUUAGUUUGAGAUACAUGAAUGCAUAAAAUGGCUAUUUGCACCAGACUACUAAGCUUUUCAAUUUCUUGUAAUAAUUAUUUAAAAUCUGCAUUUGGUGCAUUGCUCUCACACUACCUUGCUUCUUUAUCAUUUCUUCUUUUAAUCUCAGCACUGUCAUGAUGUCUGAAAACAUAGAUCCAAGCUUGUUAGAACCUGAUGUAAAAUACUGGGCAAACAGACUCUUGGUGAGGACCUAAAAGGCAUCUUGUUUUAGUGGUUGACUUCAGGCUAAACACACUUCAGCAACUUGGCAGGUUUUUGUUAUUUUUUUCCAAUUCUUGAAUUCUCAGAUAUUUGCUGGUAGUUAAAGAUGCCCCCAAAGUAUUAGUCUUUUGAAAAUAAGUAAGCUCUGUCAUGUUUUCUUUGUUGGUCGUGUUUUUCUUUGUUGUUGUUUUAAUUAUAAAAAUCGAGUUGUCCCUUAUGAUAUCUAAAUUAAUGAAACUAUUAAGUAAAAUAAUAUAGGACUUAAAACCUGAGUUCUCUUUAAACUUUACAGAGAAAAGGAAAUUGAAGGAAAGAGAGUCUGAAAGAACAGUUAUAAUAAACUAAUAAGCUUACUAAAAAUCAACCUUUUAAAAAACAAAAUUGUAUAAUUUUGUGACAGACUAAAAGUAUAUGGCAUGUCAAAUUUUAGCAGAAAUGCUUAAAGAGGUAGAUAAACAAGAAUUUUUUAAGGAAUAGAACAUUCUCUAAAUAAUUACAAUUUAUUUUAACUCUAUGGUUUAAUACAAUCUUAGUUAUAAAUCCUACAUAUGAUACACAAAAAAUACUGAAAUUCUCAAUUUAAUAAUUCUGUAAUACCGUUUGUUUGGCUUUCUGUAGUUCUAUUUUGAGAUCGCU